rnacentral:rRNA from 1 species
AUAUCAAUAAGCGGAGGAAAAGAAACCAACAGGGAUUGCCUCAGUAACGGCGAGUGAAGCGGCAACAGCUCAAAUUUGAAAUCUGGCCUCUUUGGGGUCCGAGUUGUAAUUUGUAGAGGAUGUUUCGGGUACCGCCUCGGUUUAAAUUUCUUGGAACAGAAUGUCAAAGAGGGUGAGAAUCCCGUCUUGGACCGGCGGUAGGGCCCAUGUGAAACUCCUUCGACGAGUCGAGUUGUUUGGGAAUGCAGCUCAAAAUGGGUGGUAAAUUUCAUCUAAAGCUAAAUAUUGGCCAGAGACCGAUAGCGCACAAGUAGAGUGAUCGAAAGAUGAAAAGCACUUUGAAAAGAGAGUUAAACAGUAU